GCCAUGCUAGUUGUACGAGUUCAGACUCGUAGCAGAUAGCUCAGUAACACGUGGCCAAACUACCCUAUGGAUCCGGACAACCUCGGGAAACUGAGGCUAAUCCGGAAUACGACUCUCAGCCUGGAAGUGGCGAGAGUCAGAAACGCUCCGGCGCCAUAGGAUGUGGCUGCGGCCGAUUAGGUAGACGGUGGGGUAACGGCCCACCGUGCCCAUAAUCGGUACGGGUUGUGAGAGCAAGAGCCCGGAGACGGUAUCUGAGACAAGAUACCGGGCCCUACGGGGCGCAGCAGGCGCGAAACCUUUACACUGCACGAAAGUGCGAUAAGGGGACUCCAAGUGCGAGGGCAUAUAGUCCUCGCUUUUCACUACCGUAAGGAGGUAGUAGAAUAAGUGCUGGGCAAGACCGGUGCCAGCCGCCGCGGUAAUACCGGCAGCACGAGUGAUGACCGCUCUUAUUGGGCUUAAAGCGUCCGUAGCUGGCCACGCAAGUCUAUCGGGAAAUCCGCGCGCUCAACGCGCGGGCGUCCGGUGGAAACUGUGUGGCUUGGGACCGGAAGAUCCAGAGGGUACGUCUGGGGUAGGAGUGAAAUCCCGUAAUCCUGGACGGACCACCGGUGGCGAAAGCGCUCUGGAAAGACGGAUCCGACGGUGAGGGACGAAAGCUCGGGUCACGAACCGGAUUAGAUACCCGGGUAGUCCGAGCUGUAAACGAUGUCUGCUAGGUGUGCCACAGGCUACGAGCCUGUGGUGUGCCGUAGGGAAGCCGUGAAGCAGACCGCCUGGGAAGUACGUCCGCAAGGAUGAAACUUAA
rnacentral:rRNA from 1 species